rnacentral:rRNA from 1 species
AGCGAGUCUGCCUUGAAGAUCGGAGUGCUUGCACUCUGUGAAACAGGAUACAGGCUAGCGGCGGACGGGUGAGUAACACGUGGGUAACCUGCCCAAGAGAUCGGGAUAACACCUGGAAACAGAUGCUAAUACCGGAUAACAACAGAUGAUGCCUAUCAACUGUUUAAAAGAUGGUUCUGCUAUCACUCUUGGAUGGACAUGCGGUGCAUUAGCUAGUUGGUAGGGUAACGGCCUACCAAGGCGAUGAUGCAUAGCCGAGUUGAGAGACUGAUCGGCCACAUUGGGACUGAGACACGGCCCAAACUCCUACGGGAGGCAGCAGUAGGGAAUCUUCCACAAUGGACGCAAGUCUGAUGGAGCAACGCCGCGUGAGUGAAGAAGGGUUUCGGCUCGUAAAGCUCUGUUGUUGGUGAAGAAGGACAGGGGUAGUAACUGACCUUUGUUUGACGGUAAUCAAUUAGAAAGUCACGGCUAACUACGUGCCAGCAGCCGCGGUAAUACGUAGGUGGCAAGCGUUGUCCGGAUUUAUUGGGCGUAAAGCGAGUGCAGGCGGCUCGAUAAGUCUGAUGUGAAAGCCUUCGGCUCAACCGGAGAAUUGCAUCAGAAACUGUCGAGCUUGAGUACAGAAGAGGAGAGUGGAACUCCAUGUGUAGCGGUGAAAUGCGUAGAUAUAUGGAAGAACACCGGUGGCGAAGGCGGCUCUCUGGUCUGUUACUGACGCUGAGGCUCGAAAGCAUGGGUAGCGAACAGGAUUAGAUACCCUGGUAGUCCAUGCCGUANACGAUGUGUGCUAAGUGUUGGGAGGUUUCCGCCUCUCAGUGCUGCAGCU